GGACAGGACCCUCUUCAAGAAAGUCUUCAACGAGUGUCCUUUGCACCUCACCUCGGCCACCGCCUGGACCCAUCCACACACCAACGAGCUGCACUUAAUUCUGGGGGCUGAGGAAGGAAUCUUCGCCUUGAACCGGAGUGAGGCAGAACCCACUCUAGAACUGCUUUAUCACAGCCGAACGACGUGGGUCUAUUGCAUGGGAAACGUUCUCAUGUCCCUUUCAGGUAAG